rnacentral:rRNA from 1 species
GACGAACGCUGGCGGCGUGCUUAACACAUGCAAGUCGAACGGAAAGGCCCUGCUUUGGUCGGGUGCUCGAGUGGCGAACGGGUGAGUAACACGUGAGUAACCUGCCCUGGACUUUGGGAUAACUUCAGGAAACUGGGGCUAAUACCGGAUAGGAGCUCCUGCUGCAGGGUGGGGAUUGGAAAGUUUCGGCGGUUGGGGAUGGACUCGCGGCUUAUCAGCUUGUUGGUGGGGUAGUGGCUUACCAAGGCUUUGACGGGUAGCCGGCCUGAGAGGGUGACCGGCCACAUUGGGACUGAGAUACGGCCCAGACUCCUACGGGAGGCAGCAGUGGGGAAUAUUGCACAAUGGGCGGAAGCCUGAUGCAGCAACGCCGCGUGCGGGAUGACGGCCUUCGGGUUGUAAACCGCUUUCGCCUGUGACGAAGCGUGAGUGACGGUAAUGGGUAAAGAAGCACCGGCUAACUACGUG